CCUACGGGAGGCUGCAGUGGGGGAUAUUGCACAAUGGGGGGAACCCUGAUGCAGCGACGCCGCGUGGGUGAAGAAGCGCCUCGGCGCGUAAAGCUCUGUCAGCAGGGAAGAAAAUGACGGUACCUGAGGAAGAAGCCCCGGCUAACUACGUGCCAGCAGCCGCGGUAAUACGUAGGGGGCAAGCGUUAUCCGGAUUUACUGGGUGUAAAGGGGGCGCAGACGGCGUGGCAAGUCUGGAGUGAAAGCCCGGGGCUCAACCGCGGGACUGCUUUUGAAACUGUGAGGCUGGAGUGCAGGAGGGGCAGGUGGAAUUCCUGGUGUAGCGGUGAAAUGCGUAGAUAUCAGGAGGAACACCAGUGGCGAAGGCGGCCUGCUGGACUGCAACUGACGUUGAGGCCCGAAAGCGUGGGGAGCAAACAGGAUUAGAUACCCGAGUAGUC
rnacentral:rRNA from 1 species